rnacentral:misc_RNA from 1 species
AUAAGAAGGUAGCGCUCUGCAUGAACUGCAGCAGCAUGAUCAGACCUUGGAGAAGGAGGCACGCCAACAGCAUCAAUUUCAUCCCAAGUCAUAGUUUCUAGGUCAAGAAUAUGCAAAUCAUUCAAGAGAGAUCUCUUUGCAUCUUGUCCACCAAAAAUCACUAAGCUCGUCCCAACAAGUGUAACAGACUGACCCCCACGUGAGACCGGUGCUUUCCCAUAUGUCUUUAAGGUUGACCAAGUAUGAGUUUGUGGAUCAAAACCCUUCACUUGAAUGCUUUCAGAAGGAUCUUUUGUAUGUCCAGCAAUUGAUACAAGCUUAUUUUCCCAAGCUAUCAAGGAAUGACCAGCACAAUGAGUUAUUGUAGCAGGAGAUUUUGAUUCAUCUG